UUCCAGCUCAGUUGGUAAAGCAUCUCCCUGCAAUACAGAAGACCCAGGUUCAAUUCCUGGGUUGGAAA
rnacentral:tRNA from 1 species